rnacentral:rRNA from 1 species
UACGGGGGGAGCAAGCGUUGUUCGGAUUUACUGGGCGUAAAGGGCGCGUAGGCGGCUACACGACAAGUCAGUUGUGAAAUCUCCGGGCUUAACUCGGAAAGGUCAACUGAUACUGUGCGACUAGAGUGCAGAAGGGGCAACUGGAAUUCUCGGUGUAGCGGUGAAAUGCGUAGAUAUCGAGAGGAACACCUGCGGCGAAGGCGGGUUGCUGGGCUGACACUGACGCUGAUGCGCGAAAGCCAGGGGAGCGAACGGG